ACAAAGGAUUCUCAAAGAGAUGGAAUCUUUGUUAAGAUAAUCAAAAUGGAAUAAUUAAUUUCAUCAUAAAAAAUCAUAGGAACCAGUCAGCAUCUGCAAAGCAUGGCCGACCAGGACCUUAUCAUCAACAAUAGCCAAUAAAGGUGGCAGACAAGGACUUUACUAAAGAUAAAGUCGAAAGGAAAAGAUGCCUUUUCAAAAGCAAAAGUAGUGGAGGAAAAUAAAGAAGUUGUCUUUCUUUCUCAUAAGCAAAAGAAAUGGAGGAAAACGAAGAGCCAAUAAGAAAAUAAGCUUUACGAUUUUCCUUAUCCUCUUUCGUCUAUAUAAGACAAUGUAAUAAAUCAUGGAAGGCAUCAGAAAAUUCACGAACAUAAAUUUUCUUGAAUGCUCUAGCUAUUUCUCUUGCUGUAAAAUGUUUGAAGAUCAAUAAAGAAGUUUGCCUAUUUUGUGAGUCUUUAAUUAUUUCUGCACUUUCGAUUAUUUUUUAACUUUCGGAUCCUCAAACGGAUGGCCAGGCAGACUGUACAAUUCAGACACUUGAAGAUGUUUUGCGAGUUUGUAUAUUAGAUUUCAAGGGUAGCUGGGAUGAUCACCUACCACUUAUUGAAUUUGCUUAUAACAAUAGCUACCAUUCGAGCAUUAAGAUGGCACCUUAUGAAGCUUUAUAUGGUCGAAAGUGUAGAUCACCAAUUGCCUGGUUCGAAACAGGUGAGACUGCCUUAUUUGGGCAAGUCUUCUUCAUCAAGCUAUGGAAAAAGUCAAAGUGAUACAGCAACGGCUAGAAACAGCUCAAAGUCGAUAUAAAUCAUAUGUAGAUAUUAGAAAGAGAGGACUAAAAUUUUCUAUAGGAGAUUGGGUGUUCUUUAAGGUGUCUCCGAUGAAAGGGAAGUUAAGAAAUAAAGAAGUAGCUUAUGUAAAAGUACUAUGGAGAAACCAACAAGUAGAAGAAGUUACAUGGGAAGCAUAAGAAGCAAUGAAAUUGAAGUAUCCUCACCUCUUCCAGACUGGUGAGAAAGAUCAAAAUGUUAGUGGAGGCGUUGGCGGGUAAGUAUUAGCUUAUAUGUUCAAUGUGAUUAAUAGUAGUACUAACUUAGUCUUGACCUUGUGUGGGCUGGACAACAUUGCUAACAUUCGAGGAUGAAUGUUUUAUAGGGGGAAGGAUGUGAUUGCCUGUAUUAUGUAUAUGCUAGUUCGAUUCAUGUGAUAUUUUACAUAGACUUAUAGUGUAGGUAAGGGAUCAUGUUUCUUAUAUGGUUAGUGUUGGUUUAAGCUAGCUCGUUAGGUGAUGUAACGCCUUGCACAUUUCAGCAUAUGUAUUGCAAGUUAACUAUGACGGAAAGUAUUUAAGUAGAUAUAGUAAGGUGGUAAUUGAGAUUAAAGCAAAAAGUUAAGUACUAAGUUGAAGAACAAGGGGAUUAACAUUCAGAAAUUGAAAUAAAAUAAUUGAGAUGCUUGCUUGGCUUAAUUUAAGCUAGCAACUGCAUCAUCUACUUAAGUUAUAAUAUAGUUAAAGGGCCAAGUUUUAUGGACCAGAUUUAUGCUUAUAUAAAUGGGCUGUCACUUGAAGCCCUAACCUAUUAAAUGAAAUUGAUAUUUGAAAGAAAUCCCAGCAGCCAAAUCUGCCAAGGCCAAAUAUGGAUAAAGCCUAAGUGAAAUCAACUAGGUGUAUCACCUAGUUUGCCCUUUUGAGCUGCUUGAUGUGCACAAGCAAGUGCAUCACCUAAUUGACCAAUUAGUGGCUGAAAAUGGACCCAAAAAUAGGAGGUUCUAGAGGAUAUUUUUGUGGUCAAUAAACCUCUAUAUAUAUCCAAUAUGAGCAGAUAUUCUUCAUUCAUUUAACAUAUAAAAAUAAAAUUUAACUCCAACUCAAUUUCUCUUUUCUCUCAAGGAUUAAACCAACAGCCUUAACGUUUUCUAGGGUUCUUGAAGAAACCCUUAUAUCUGCAAACCAAGGUAAGUAAAGGGAAGCUGAAGUUCUAAAAGAAUUCAAGUUAUAAGCAGAAGUUGCAGAGAUUGAGGUAAGGUGACUGCUCCAUUUUUGUCUUCCUUAUGUAUGAGUUUGAGUGAGAAAUGAAGGUGUGGUGAUACACAUUAUAUUAAGGGUUGUAUGAGCUCAUUAUCAGUCAAAGUUAGCUAGUGUUUUUCAAGGCUCACGGUGUGAUAGCAUCUAAUUUUAGUUUACCAUGACAUAAAUUGUAGAUAAAUACCAAAAAGGGGAGGCUAAAUCGUGAUAGUAUAUCAGUCCGAGGAUAAGGUAUGUAAAGCUAUUUGAUUCUAUAUCCCUUUGGCAUGAAAUCUGACACCUGUAAUUAAUAUCAAUGAAGUGAAUAUCAUAAGUUCUAUUUCUAGAAAAGGAGACAUAGUGAUAACGUACUAUCUCCAAGUAGCUAACAAUAUUUUACCCUCUCUGUAGUGCAUAGACCUACUUCAUCAUACGUUCACUAUUUUAUACUUGUGUAGUUAUCCCCCAUGAGCUGGUAUAGAAAUGGUAUUUGCAAAAGCAAGUCUGUGACUCCUCCUCUUUGUUGUUUGAAGUCAGUUGUUUCAUUAAUCCCUCAAAGUAAUGUAUUGAUAUUGCAUAGCUCCUUAUGUCAUUGUUAUUUCCUUUAAGUAUUGUUUUUAUGUCUUUUAUUACUGGUCCAUACAUCCAUAUCUCCAAAAUAAUUAUGACCAGCAAAAUAAUAUCUCAAAAGAGUUAGGAACUGAUAAACAACAAUCUCAAAGAUUAAAGAAUCUAAGUGAAGAAAUCUAUAUAAUUAUGCGUGGCAGCUCAGGGGCGAAAGCCUAGGAUGGGUUGAUCCCAACUAGUACAUAAAGGUGGUAGCUCAGGGGCGAAAGCCUAGCAUGGUCCGAUCCCUAUUGGUAUAGAAGGGUGGCAGCUCAAGGGCGAAAGCCCAGCAUGGGCCGAUCCCAAGUUAUGUAAUUAUGAGGACCGCAUCCCAGGGGUUAAUACGCCUAGCAUGGGUCAUCCUCUUCUACCGCUGAUCAUAUGGUCACUUGUAUCACAUGCCCUACAAAUAUUAUGACAUACAAAAAAGUAAGAAAAAAAUGUAGCUUACUUGAUCCCACAAGAGUAAGCAAAGGUGGUCUUCUCUCCUAAUCUAUGUACUCAUAUGUUGCUUUUUGAUUUCAUUUGAGCUCUCAUAUUACAUAUGACAUUGCAUUACAUAUUCAGUACAUUUUUUUGUACUGACGUCCCUCGGGGGGAUGCUACAUUUUAUGUUGUAGGCACAUAUACUCCAGCUAGUAGACCUCUUCUCUAGGAUCACACAAAACUGUGCUACUUUUGGGUGAGCUCCAAGUUGAUUCGGAGAUUUAUUGAGUCUUUGGUAAAUUCAUUUUGGUGUUGUAUGGUAGUUAAGGGCAAGGCGGGGUCUUAACCGACCUACUCUAGUCUUCUAUUUUUUAGAGGCUUUGUAGAUGUAUGUACAUGGUUCAGUUGUGUCUUAAGGAGUUGUGGCCUCAACGACCAAGUCUUGUAUAUAACUUUUGGACCUACUUAUGUUGUUUUUAUCUCUACAUCCUAGGUGAACUUGCCAAUUAUUAUAGUUAUAUGCACAGUAAGAUCAGGUUGCGGGUUGGUUCUCUUGGGCCUUUAGGGCAUCGGGUGCCUUUUCGUCUUAAUGGGUUCUCAGGCGUGACACAACUGUUGUUGGUGAGCUCUAGGUUGAUUUGGGGCUUUGCCGAGUCUUUAAUAUGCAUAUUUUGAUAGCACGGAUUCCAAUAGAGGCUUUGUAGACAUUGUAAAGCUAUCAGUUGUAUUCAUAGUUUCUUGUCACUUGUAUUGGUUCAGCUAGUCAACAUGUGUUGCAUAUAAGGCUUUUCAUUAGUAAUCUGCAUAAUAGUUUACUUUCUCAUCAUAGGUUACUUCUAAAUCAUGAGGUGGACAAGUACCCUAUGAAUACAUGCUUUACAAGUAACCUAGUAUGAGAAAGUAAACUAUUAUGCAGAUUACUGAUGAAAAUCUUUAUAUACAACACAUGUUGACUAGCUGAACCAAAACAUGUGACAAGUGAAACUAUGAAUACAGAUUAUAACUUUACAAUGUCUAGAAAGCCUAUAUUUGAAUCCAUGCUAUGAAAAUACGCAAAGUAAAGACUCCGCAAAGCCCCAAAUCAACCUGGAGCUCACCAACAACAACUUAGUGUCAUGUGCUUCUAUUGGGGAAAUCCACUUUUGAAUACUUGUACAUGCAGCAUGAAAUGGUGCGCCCCAAUAAGGGACCUCAAUACGAAAGAUUAAAUUGAAUAUGUAAUCAUAUGUGACAUGAGAGAUCAAAUGAAACCAAGUAUCAAUAAAUAAGGAUUAGAGACCACCUUUUUUUGUACUUGUGGAAUUGUGUAUGUUACAUUUUUUUCUUUACUUUUCUGUGCGUUAAACUUUUUGUAAGUCAUAUGAUACAAAUGACAGUUGAUCAGUGGUGGGAGAGGAUGACCCAUGCUAUGCAUUUUAACCUUGAUAUGCUGUCCUUAUAAUUCCAAAAAUUGGGAUAGGCCCAUGCUAGACUUUCGCCCUUAAGUUGCCACCCUUUUAUACCAAUCGAUAUCGGCCCAUGCAACAUUCAAUGGUGUAUCACAACACUUUCAAUGUACUAUUCAUUAACAAGUUUUCAUGACUGCUCUAAAUAUCCAGCCAGACCCUCUUAUUUAUAUGAUAUAAAAAUAGUCCCUAAGCCUCACAAUGUGGAAAUAACAAUAUGAACCCAUGACUUCCGAUCAACAUCCUAUGAAUUCAAACUAACAUUUAGAUUCUAAAAACAAGUACAAUUAAAAUUUAAGGGGACUCCACUCCAUGUAUGUCCCGACAAACACCUCCUUCCUGAACAUUCACCAAUCUCACACCAUACAGAGCCAACACUCAACAAUUCAUUAACACAUACAAACUUUUACAAAUAAUGUAAUAACAAGAGAGGGAUGAAAAUUUCCAUAGCUUACCUUGCUAGACAGAAUCCUCAAUUGCCAAGACUUGGAUUCUUUAAGGCUUAGGUUGUCCUCUUCCCCUUACCUUGACGUUAAUUCAUAUUAUUCACUUUAUUAUCACAAGAUGGAGAUGUUAUACCAACUUGUACUUUAAAAACACACAUUUCCUUCAGAUUCUAAUGGUGAGCUGUAGAAAAGAACUCGUUGGAGCUUCUAUGGCUUUCCUUGGGAGUAAUUUUCUUGAAAAUAAGUGAUGAGGGAGAGGUGAUAAACUUGAUGCUUUCGACGUCCCUUUUGGACAUUUUCACUCAAUAAAUUUGAGAAACAAUAUGGCCCUUUACUUGUAAGCAAGAAGGUGCAUUACCUCGUUAGUGUCGGCCACAUGUUUUUUAGUAACUGCAUCAGCUACUUGCUCUUGUCACUUAAAUUCAGUUUACUAAUUCUAAGUAGGUGCAUCACCUACUUUCUCCUUUAAAAUUCAGUCCACUAGUUCUAAGUAGGUGCAUAACCGACUUGAUUCUUUUAACUUAAAAUUCAGAUCACUAAUUCUAAGUAGGUGCAUCACCUACUUGCUCCUUUUAAAUUAAAAUUCAGUCUACUAAUUCUAAGAAGGUGCAUCACCUACUUUCUCCUUUGAACUUAAAAUUUAGUCCACUAAUUCUAAGUAGGUGCAUCACCUACUUGCUUUCUUAAAAUUAAAUUCAGUCCACUAAUUCUAAGUACGUGCAUCACCUACUUGCUCCUUCUAACUUAAAAUCAGUCCACUAAUUUUAAGUAGGUGCAUCACUUACUUGCCCUUUUUCACUUAAAAUGCAUUUCACUAAUUCUAAGUAGGUGCAUCACCUACUUGUCACCUACUAGCAUAGUUUAGUCAAGCAGGCACCUCAAUUAUUUGCACCAUUUUCCCAUCUUAAAUUCUUUACAAGACCGUAACACUAAAUACACACUUGACCACUUUGACUUUUAAAUCGAAUACCACCUUUUUAUAUCCCGAGUUUGAACUGUUUUUUGAGUUUAAUUAUUCGUAUAUGUGUUGGAAGGCACAGGGUAUUACAACUUUAAACGUGAAUAUUGUCACCAGUCGCAUAAGAAACCGAGUCCAUAACUAUACCACAAGGAAAUUUUUAAGCGACAUAUAGAUAGAACUUGUUCACGUAGAAUAAGGGGUGUUACAGAAAGCUUGCAAAAAUUUCCCCGAAGGCUUAGCUCUAGUGGAAAAAAGUGGUUGCUUAGGUCAUAUGUUCAAGCCCCACGCCAUGUAAAGCGAAUCCCGAUAUUUGAGUUGAGAAGGGUAGAGGGGCGAACCCAUUAUCAACCGAUUUUAGAAGGCUAUGAUUGGUCCAAAGAGAGUCUUAGACAUAUAUUUUGGUUAUAAGAAAAAGAUUUUGCAGAGACUUUCGAGAACUUCAGAAGUAUUGAUGACAAGGUAGGUAUACGGUAGCUUGAGAAAUUCUUUUUUUUUUUGUAAUUUUACCAAUACUCAACAUAAUUGGAUUACUUCUUAGGUUGUGGGAUUUCUGCUUCUUAAAGUGCAUUUGCAAACUUACAGGCUACAAUCUAUGUUAAACUCUGUAACAGUCCUAGAAUAAUCUUCAUCUUCCUUAUCUCCAAGUGCAGCAGUGCAUUGUUUGAUUGACUUAUGUCCUUCCUGACUACUAAAUCUCUAGAAGAAUUUCGUUCAAGUCAACUUGCAUGUAGGUAACAUUAUUCAAAACUUCUAGGUUCACUUAUCUGCUGUUAGUGCCUUCUAUGUUCUCUUUUAGUUAACUAAGUUUGUCAUCCAUGUCUGCUUGCUUCUGCCUCAUGUUUUCCUAUAAUCAUAUAUACUUUUUAUUAGUGAUUGUAAUAUAGCUUUGAAUGAUUAGUUUAUUUGGACACUAAUUGAAUCAGAACUGACUAGAUCUCUACAAUACUACAUUAGUGAUCUUUAAUUUCUUGUGACAAUGUGCAUUUUUCAGUUUUUUGUCUUUUCUUAUUUAAUAUGUUAUUUGGCAUCACUAGGUAUGUCAUUUUUGUAAUAUAUUAUUUGGCGUCACUUCAAUAUGCAUUAGGCAUGAACUUUAUGGUUUGUGUUAUUAUUUGGCAUCAGUUCAAUGUGCAUUAAAUCGGAAUUUCAUGCCCUGUAGUUCUAAUUUUACCUAAUCUUUUAUGUAUGAUAGGGAAAAGUUGAGGAUUAUAAAUCUUCAAAAAAAGGACUUUAAGUGCCUCAAAGAUAACCUCGUCUAUUACUGGGAUACACUGGUUGCUAAAUGUGAAAAUGGACCACUUUUUGAACCUCAUUCUCGCCCAAACCUCCCAAUUCUCGUCCUCUCACUCUUUCAGGGGGAUUUUAUGACACUUAAAAGCUUUAGAAUCUCCAUCAAAUAAAUAGAUUGAAGAAACACAAAAUUCCCAGAAGUACAUACAUUAAGAGCUUAAAAGAGACUCAUGAUUUUUUGUUAGGGUCUCGUCGGAUUUCAGUAAAGCUCCAUUUGUGGUCAGGUCAUUCUUCGUCAGUCGUUACAUCAAUUGCUACUCGAAAAGAGGUUGGUAAUGCUGAAUAUUCACUGCUUGUUCAAGGAAAAUUUCCAUCGAGAGCUUGCAAAAAUUUCCCCUAAUGCUUAGCUCUAUUGGAAAAAGGUGGCAGAUUUGUGACUUAGAUCACAUGUUCAAGCCCCACACCAUGCAAAACGAAGCCUGAAGUGGAGAAGGGUAGAGGGUCCGGCCCAUUAUCCACUGAUUUCUACUUCUUAAAAUACAUCUGCAAACUUACAGGCUACAGUCUAUGUUAAACUGUUAAACUCUGUAACAGUCCUGGAACAAUCUUCAUAUUCCUUAUAUCUAAUUGCAGUGCAUUGUUUAAUAUACUUGAGUCUUUCCUGA